UCACUAAGCGGAGGAAAAGAAACCAACAGGGAUUGCCUCAGUAACGGCGAGUGAAGCGGCAACAGCUCAAAUUUGAAAUCUGGCCCCCCGGGUCCGAGUUGUAAUUUGUAGAGGAAGCUUUUGGCGAGGCGCCUUCCGAGUUCCCUGGAUACGGGACGCCAUAGAGGGUGAGAGCCCCGUACGGUCUGGUGCCGAGCCUCUGUAAAGCUCCUUCGACGAGUCGAGUAGUUUGGGAAUGCUGCUCUAAGUGGGAGGUAAACUCCUUCUAAAGCUAAAUACUGGCCAGAGACCGAUAGCGCACAAGUAGAGUGAUCGAAAGAUGAAAAGCACUUUGGAAAGAGAGUUAAAAAGCACGUGAAAUUGUUGAAAGGGAAGCGCUUGUGACCAGACUUGCGCCUGGCAGCUUAGCCGUCCUUCUGGGCGGUGUACUCUGCCGGCUCAGGCCAGCAUCAGUUUCGGGCAGGGGAGAAAUGCGGCGGGAAUGUGGCUCUUCGGAGUGUUAUAGCCCNCCGUUAUACCCUGCCGGGGACUGAGGUUCGCGCUCUGCACGGAUCCUGCCGUAAUGGUUACUACCGACCCGUCUUGAAACACGGACCAAGGAGUCAUCCUCANAUGCGAGUGUUAGGGUCCAAAACCCCUACGCGAAAUGAAAGUGAGCGGAGGUGAGAGCUUCGGCGCAUCAUCGACCGAUCCUGAUGUUAUCGGAUGGAUUUGAGUAUGAGCAUAUGGGGCUGGACCCGAAAGAAGGUGAACUAUGCUUGGAUAGGGUAAANCCAGAGGAAACUCUGGUGGAGGCUCGCAGCGGUUCUGACGUGCAAAUCGAUCGUCAAAUCUGAGCAUGGGGGCGAAAGACUAAUCGAACCUUCUAGUANCUGNUU
rnacentral:rRNA from 1 species